UUCCAAUGCUUGCAUCAAUGCACAUUGAAAUGUCUACAUAAUUAAACAACAACCAACCAUAACAUUCAUGCAUUAAACCAAGUAUUCCCAUCACUUCAAUUCAUCAACUUUAAGCUAUUCUAACAUCCCCUAAUUGUCAUAACAGUCUCAAACUAAUUCCAAACCACAUAAAACUAAUUUCAAACCAUAUCAAACUAACUUCAAACCUCUUCAAACUAAUUCCAAACCAUUUUAACUAAUUCCAAG
rnacentral:lncRNA from 1 species